rnacentral:lncRNA from 1 species
GGACGCUGGCAUGUAUACCUUGGAGUCUCCACGUACAACUAGCUCACUAAUACCUAGUCUGAUAGGAAGUACUUGGAUCUGCACACAAAAAUGUGCAGAAGUGUAGUAUGAGCACACUACAGCAGUGCCCAGCAAGUGUCAAGCCUAACCUCGGUUGAGUAGUGACGAGGUCAAGUCAGGGCCCUACUGGAAAAAUAAUAAAAGACAAGGCAAUAAGUUCAACAAUAUGAUAAUAGUAAUGACAAAUGGAAACAAGUCACAUAAGGAACAUAUCAAAAUUUAACAACACGGAAUAAGAUCAAUUAAUAAUAACUUACUAAAGAGAAAGCUUUAAUUUAAUAAAUAAAAAUGAUAGAAUAACUAGAAAGUAAAUGCAACCAUAAAGAAAUAUCAACAGGGGAACUUUCGAGGUACCGCCUCGUAGUCCCAAAUCAUAAAUAAAUUCACAACAUCCCAUUUCCUUAUAUCAUCGCGGAAGCCUUCACAUUUAAUUUUUUUAAAAAAAUAUAUUUUUCCGAAAUAGCGUCCCGCGUUUUAGCCACCCUUAUCUCACCGCAUGACUUCUAGUAGUUCCCCUACUAGCCACGCGUAUCAAGCCACCCUUAUCUCACCAUAUGUGUUUCAAUACCCAGACCUUAUAUCGCCGCAUGCGUAUUAAUAUCACAAUUUGUACCUCAAAUGGUCAAAUAUUUCUACUUACCAAAAUAAAUUAACAACAACUAUAUUUUCCACAAUAAGGAGCUAGCGGCUCAAUCACAAUGAAUAUAAAAAUUUCAACAAAUAAUGAUUUCCCAAAUUUAGCACCUUGAUUCCAUACCCAUUUUUAAAAUGCCAAAUACUUCAUAUAAAAAAAUAAUUAAAUUAAGAAAACACAACCUUCAAAUAAUGAGCACAAAUAAAAGAAAUAAAGCUUCAAUUUAACAGAUAGGCAAUUAGCAAGAAAAGGUCAGACAAGUUUCACUUAUAUGAAAAUAAUUUAAUGACAAUGAAUAAAACAUGAAUAAAUGAUUUAAUUAAUAUGCAACAGUGAUCUACACAAAUUAAAAGUAUAACCUUCCACAUUUAGUCUGUGUACGCACUCGUCACCUUAUGUACACGACUUUCAUUUAGCACAUUAAUACCAAUCCUAGGGGAAAGUCCCUCACACAAGGUUAGACAAGUCACUUACCUCAAGUCACGCUAACUCAAUCCACUAGUAGGUCUUUCC